GAGUUGAGGAGGCUGAACUGAGAACAGGAUGCAAGAAGCCCUGUUGUCUCUACACCACAAGAAUUCCACACAUACAUCCAGCCCCUCUUCCAAGGCUUGAGAAAUCACUCUAAUCAGAAAACCCGGCAAACGAAGCAGGCAACCAUCGGAGAACUCUGAAUUAGUCUCACCUUCAGACCGCGGCUCCCAGAAGCUCCUGCCUCUCUGACAGCUGUCGCUUCGGCAGCCCAAGAGACGAAUUGUCCUCCUUCCUGGUGCCAGAGGACGCAGGAAAUUAGCCAGGUUGCAAGUUGCAAAGCAGCGGCGGCUGCUCCAGGAACAGGACGCGCCCCACCUCCAGGGACAACGGCCGGCCUGGGCCUGGCAGCGGCUUCCCCUCGCUCGCCAUCGCUGGACAAAGCGCAGCCCAGGCAGGCUGGCAAGGCAGAGCUCCGAAGCACGCAGGAUGGAGCGGAGCAAAAGAAUGCGGCUCUAUUCUCGCAAGGGAAAUUAUAAAAAAGUUCAUGUUCACGGUUCCUAUCCACAUGACCGACAGCGGCCAAUGGAAGGGCCGAACAACUCAUAAAGUUGUAUUGCAAAGUUGUAAAUUUUCAUAAACAACAACGGAUUUAUGACCCUUUCCCCAUCACUAAGAGGAGGCGGCUCUUACACAGACGCCAUCUUACCACCGAGUCUGUCCCGAUUUGGGGCUGCAGGUUUUUCAGAUCCUUUUAGGUCCGAUUUUAUUAAAAGAGUCCUAAGAAACAGGCCCAACCUAGUCAGGGGAUAAGAAUGGAGACCUUCGCGGGCCCAGCUCAGGAUGCUCUAAGCUACUUCCACCGCCUCUCGCCCCUGGUCUCUCGCCGCUAGCCCCUUCCCCAGCCACAGUCCUUCCUCAGCAACAGGACUUGACUAGGUUGCGCUGCAGGGUUUGAGGCCCAUGUCGUCCAAGAAUCCCUCAGCUUCAGUGUUGGACCCUGGGGCAUCCUCACCCUUACUGAAGGCUAAGUGGGGGUACUGCAGCAGGGACCUUGAAUUCCAUUUCUUUCCUACCCUGGGACUGUACUCAAGGCGCAUGUGGAAUCCGGAAUCAAUUGGAGGGUAGGUAAUACCCUUUUAGAGCUCAGUCUACACCUUCAGAGGAAAGUUGAAUUUGGAAUUCGUUCAUGGAAUUUAUGAAAGUUUGAGAGGCCGUAGAUAGAAUAUAUAGCAUUAACAAAUAGUCUGUUUUCAAUGGACCUAAAUAGAUAUUGGUGCACAUACAAUAGCCAGGCAAAAACCAUCUACAAAGAGGAAGGCAUAUAUACAAUUAUAGUCACAGAAAAACACAGAAACCCACACACACAAUUAUAGACGUGAGAAAUGUUGAUACACACGCAUGUGUGUGGGAAUACAUACAACUAUAACUAUAAGCAAGCACACAGAGAAGUAGAAAUGUGCUUAAGCACACAUAAAAAAAAAACACGUGAAGAGACAUGAUAAAUUUGUCCAUGAAUAGCGAAAAUUUGGACUCAGGGACAGUGGCUCUGCAUUUGUUUCUUGUGUCUCUUUGGCCUAUGGCCAGGGCUGGUCCUUCAGCUAUGGCCACUUCCCCUUGCCCAAGACCCUCUGGAUAAAGCAGUCCGUGUUUCUUUGUCACCAAGCAUCUUUAUUGUUACAUAAAACACAGGUAGCUGGGCUGGGAAGCGUGCCUUCUCUGAACCCCAGGCUGGGGAAGGGGGGGGGGCAUGAGGAGACAAGGGAGAUGAUGGCCCCGGGUGGGUGCUGGACUUCUCCCACCCACUACAGAAUUAGUUCAAUACAACACACCAUGCUACAAAGUCACCCCAUUAAAACAUCCUCUCCAAGUCAAGACAUUCCUUUACAAAUGAGCUCCAAGAUUAUAGAAAUGACAACAGCACAAAAAAAAAAAAAUCUGGUUCAAAUAUACAGUAUUUGUCCUUGUAGGAAAAGUCAGGGUAUACAUAUUUGACAUGGCUGAACAGUAGGACACAAAAGCAAGGGGGAGAGGAUAGUGAGUCUGGGAACAUCUCCUUAGUCCCACAAAAACAAAACCCGGAGCUAUUCCAGAGGGUGGCAGCCAGCUCGGGAAUGCUCCCCUCCUGAAGUAGGGGUAAUGGCCCUGACCUUGAGGUGUCAAAGCCACAGAAAGAGGGCUUCUAGGUUGCAGCAUGUGGUAUGCUUUGGAAUAAAUAUAUUAUUUUUCAAUUUAAAUAGAAGCC
ensembl:antisense Hoxaas3 Hoxa cluster antisense RNA 3